AAGUGCCAAGCCCCUUGAAAGAGCCUGGCAGUCUCAACACAGUUCCAUCAUGCCACAUGCAAGACUGGUGCCUAUUACUACAUUGAGGAGGAAAGAAGAGAGCUCCUUGCAGUAAGUAAAAUACUUGUGUGCAAAUACCAGUGUCUGGCCAACAGCUCGAGCGAGUUGGUUGGCCCAGACCGCCAACGCAAAUGAGAGCUCAUAUAUAUGGUGGGGAGAAUCGAGGGACCUUGGUCUUACAGAAAUGAUCUG